rnacentral:tRNA from 2 species
GCCGAGGUGGCCGAGUGGACUAAGGCGCAGGCCUGGAGAGCCUGUGUCCCGUGAGGGGCGCAAGGGUUCAAAUCCCUUCCUCGGCG